AUUGAACGCUGGCGGCAUGCCUAACACAUGCAAGUCGAACGGCAGCACGGCAGUAGCAAUACUGUGGGUGGCGAGUGGCGGACGGGUGAGGAAUACGUCGGAAUCUGCCCAGUCGUGGGGGAUAACUAGCCGAAAGGUUAGCUAAUACCGCAUACGACCGAGAGGUGAAAGCGGGGGACCGCAAGGCCUCGCGCGAUUGGAUGAGCCGACGUCGGAUUAGCUAGUUGGUGGGGUAAAGGCCCACCAAGGCGACGAUCCGUAGCUGGUCUGAGAGGAUGAUCAGCCACACUGGAACUGAGACACGGUCCAGACUCCUACGGGAGGCAGCAGUGGGGGAAUAUUGGACAAUGGGCGCAAGCCUGAUCCAGCAAUGCCGCGUGUGUGAAGAAGGCC
rnacentral:rRNA from 1 species